rnacentral:rRNA from 1 species
AUUGAACGCUGGCGGCAGGCCUAACACAUGCAAGUCGAGCGAGCGGCGGACGGGUGAGUAAUGUAUGGGGCCUGCCCGAUAGAGGGUGAUCACUCCUGGAAACUGUUGCUAAUACCGCAUACUAUCGGAUAACCCAUAUGGGAUUAGCUAGUAGGUGGGGUAAAGGCUCACCUAGGCGACGAUCCCUAGCUGGUCUGAGAGGGUGAUCGGCCACACUGGGACUGAGACACGGCCCAGACUCCUACGGAGGCAGCAGUGGGGAAGAUUGCACAAUGGACGCAAGCCUGAUGGAGCCAUGCCGCGUGUAUGAAGAAGGCCUUAGGGUCGUAAAGUACUGUCAGCAGAGAGGCGUUACCCGAAGAGGAAGCACCGGCUAACUACGUGCCAGCAGCCGCGGUAAUUC